AAUAAGUACAGUUUUGCAUUAUUCACGUUCAACAUUUGAUCGUUCGUCUUAUUUGAAAUUUUUUUAUAAUUAAUAUUUUUAUUGCUAUUAGAUGAUAAAAUAUGAAUAAUACUUUAUGUGUGACUAAAUAUUUUCAAAUUUUUCAAAUAAGACAGACGGUCAAACGUUGGGCACAAAUAUCCACGACUGCACUUAUU
rnacentral:pre_miRNA from 1 species